GCACUUUAACGAAGGGGGCGUAAGGAAGGUCCGAAAACCGCAAAACCGCACAAAAAAUAAUAAAAAAUCGCAAUACCGCAUUGAAAUUUACCGAAAUACCGAAACCGAAGGCUGCCGUCGCCAAGACUUACAGCCCUUCUAUCCAUUAAAAAUACGACCUGCAGUGUACGCUGAUAU